GACGAACGCUGGCGGCGUGCUUAACACAUGCAAGUCGAACGGUAAGUCCCUUCUUUUGUUGGGUUCUCGUGUUUCUCCCUCUUGACUAACCCUUUCCUCACCUUCCCUUUCCUUUGUUCUCCCUUCCAGUACCUGGGGCUCCUCCCGGAUCGGCGCUCCUGCUGCAUGGUGUGGGUAGGCCCGUUUCGGCGGUUGGGGCUGGCCUCGCUGCGUCUCAGCUUGUUGGUGGGGUAGUGGCUUACCCCGGCAUUGACGGGUAGCCGGACUGAGAGGGUGACCGGCAACAUUGGGACUGAGAAAAGGCACAGACUCCUACGGGAGGAAGCAGUGGGGAAUAUUGCACAAUGGGCGGAAGCCUGAUGCAGCAAGGCCGAGUGCGGGAUGACGGCCUUCGGUGUGUAAACCGCUGGCGCCUGUGACGAAGCGUGAGUGACGGUAAUGGGUAAAGAAGCACCGGCUAACUACGUG
rnacentral:rRNA from 1 species